rnacentral:rRNA from 1 species
UGGUGGAGUGAUUUGUCUGGUUAAUUCCGAUAACGAACGAGACUCUGGCCUGCUAAAUAGUACGUCGGUAUUGGCACUCAGUAAUGGGUGUUCUAGCCGGCGCUGACUUCUUAGAGGGAUACGCAGUAUCCAAACUACAAGAAAUAGAGCAAUAACA